GCUAAUACCGGAUAAUAUUUUGAACCGCAUGGUUCAAAAGUGAAAGACGGUCUUGCUGUCACUUAUAGAUGGAUCCGCGCUGCAUUAGCUAGUUGGUAAGGUAACGGCUUACCAAGGCAACGAUGCAUAGCCGACCUGAGAGGGUGAUCGGCCACACUGGAACUGAGACACGGUCCGAG
rnacentral:rRNA from 1 species